GACGAACGCUGGCGGCGUGCCUAAUACAUGCAAGUUGAGCGCUGAAGGUUGGUACUUGUACCAACUGGAUGAGCAGCGAACGGGUGAGUAACGCGUGGGGAAUCUGCCUUUGAGCGGGGGACAACAUUUGGAAACGAAUGCUAAUACCGCAUAAAAACUUUAAACACAAGUUUUAAGUUUGAAAGAUGCAAUUGCAUCACUCAAAGAUGAUCCCGCGUUGUAUUAGCUAGUUGGUGAGGUAAAGGCUCACCAAGGCGAUGAUACAUAGCCGACCUGAGAGGGUGAUCGGCCACAUUGGGACUGAGACACGGCCCAAACUCCUACGGGAGGCAGCAGUAGGGAAUCUUCGGCAAUGGACGAAAGUCUGACCGAGCAACGCCGCGUGAGUGAAGAAGGGUUUCGGAUCGUAAAACUCUGUUGCUAGAGAAGAACGUUGGUGAGAGUGGAAAGCUCAUCAAGUGACGGUAACUACCCAGAAAGGGACGGCUAACUACGUG
rnacentral:rRNA from 1 species